rnacentral:lncRNA from 1 species
GUUAAAUAAGAGUAAAUUAAGUUACUUGUCCCCAUUUGGCUUAAUCGACCACCUCUGCUCGCGGGUCGCCGGCACGAGCGGGAGCCCUGAAGUACCACGCUGGUAAACGGUAGCCCCUUCACCCAGCUCCUCGUCGCUAUCAGCAUGGCCACUUGGCUGAGGCUGACCCAGAUCAUCCUAGGUAUCCCACUGGGUCUCUGGGGACGUACCCUCAUCACUGCUUUGCUCAGGAGUCGCCUGGAACGAAGCCUCUGGGACACGAGUCUCGUGGGUCCAAGGCUCGUCGAUGUGAGGCUUGUCGACCUGAGGCUCGUGAACCGGAGACCGUGUAGCCUCCACUUCAGACGAAUCCACCCUAGAAGUCAUGUGCUCAAGUGAAUCAGCUUGGGGUGGUGGCGAGGAAGGCAUGGCAGCCACUGCCCAACCUCUCCGGUGGCCACGUGUACCUUUAGUACAACAUAAAUACCAACAUGAGUAAUAAAAUGUAUAUAAAUACCAACA